rnacentral:lncRNA from 1 species
AAUGGCUGGAUCCGCCCCUGAUUAGGAUAAGGACAGUAAUUUAUCCCUGAUAAAUGAUAAUUUAGAAUCUUAGAUAAACUUUCUAUAACAUUCGAAAAAAGAUAUCUGCUAAAAACAAACGCUACAUUUUCUCUACUGAUUCGUCUUAUAUCUGACAAACUGAUCAGAUGGCGUUGGGGUUGAUGAAUCCUGCUCAGAGAACGUUAAAAAUUGCAAUUUGACUGUCAGUAUUAGCUAUCCUCAUAGUACAUUUUCAUAAAACAAGCACUCUACAUCUUGUCACUACUAAAGUAUCUAAUAAUUCAUAUAUUUAUGACAGAUAUUGCUGGUGGACUAUUAGUCCCCGA